GAUGAACGCUGGCGGCGUGCCUAAUACAUGCAAGUCGAGCGAACGGACGAGAAGCUUGCUUCUCUGAUGUUAGCGGCGGACGGGUGAGUAACACGUGGAUAACCUACCUAUAAGACUGGGAUAACUUCGGGAAACCGGAGCUAAUACCGGAUAAUAUUUUGAACCGCAUGGUUCAAAAGAGAAAGACGGUCUUGCUGUCACUUAUAGAUGGAUCCGCGCUGCAUUAGCUAGUUGGUAAGGUAACGGCUUACCACGGCAACGAUGCAUAGCCGACCUGAGAGGGUGAUCGGCCACACGGGAACUGAGACGCGGUCCAGACUCCUACGGGAGGCAGCAGUAGCGAAUCGUCCGCAAUGGGCGAAAGCCUGACGGAGCAACGCGGCGUGAGUGAUGAAGGUCUUCGGAUCGUAAAACUCUGUUAUUAGGUAAGAACAUAUUUGUAAGUAACUGUGCACAUCGUGACGGUACCUAAUCAGAAAGCCACGGCUAACUACGUG
rnacentral:rRNA from 1 species